UGCGCGCGUUUCUGGCCCUGCCAGUGUCUCCGCCGGUUGAAAGCGCGUGUCUGCGUCGGGUUCUGUUGGAGUGCGUUCGGUGCGCCGUGGGUCCGCGCUGCUUCCACCCAACUUCCUGUUAGUUUCUCUCCUGUCACAAUGGCAUGAUCUCGGCUCACUGCGACCUCUGCUUCCUGGGUUCAAGGAUUCUCCUGCCUCAGCCUCCCAAGUAGCUGGGAUUACAGUUUCCAUCAUUAUCUUCUAUGGAGUUCUUCAUUCCCACAUCUGUGGACCUUAAAAUCCUACCGUUGAGUGCCUGCCUUGGAUCAGCAGUCAGUUCGUUACCUUGGUUCUCAGACGAUGCUUGCAACAACGCCAUGCGAUUCGCCCACUCUUGGAGAAAAUAAGAGAAGUAUCCCUGAAGGAUGAAAUAUCCUCGAAUAUGAAAAGGUCUGCUCUCUGAAGACCAACUGUCUCAGUCUGCUUUUUGCUGCUGUAACAGAAUACCACAGACUUGGCAGAGAAGCCUUCAGAGAAGGAUCCUGACUCGGUGGUUUGUGCAGUGACAUUUGGCAGUGUUUUCUCGGCAAGCGAGUCUUUGAGGCUGCCCUCAUGCUGCUCAGUGGGCACACCAAGAACAAGAGCUGGCCAGGGAUGACGGACGCAUCUAGGCCUUCUCGGCCUAAGGGUUACAUUAGUUAUACACUCUGGAGGUGACUUGACCUGUCAUUGUGAACAAUUAUUGCUCUUGGACGACCCAGGACAUAGGCCAGCCAGUACGUACCCCAGUGUGUUGGAGAAUCGCGCUCGGCUUCUUCCUCUGUGCUGAGUCAUGAAAGUUGCCGGAGCAGGUGCAGUUACACAACCUCCAGGUAUGAUCCUGUUUAAGGACUGGAUUUAGGAUAACUACUUAGAGGUUAAAAGUCACAAGGGUGUAUGGAUGAGGCUGGAGUGAUCUGGGACCAAAGACAUCUAGGCUUGCUGUCAAGGCUUCUGAUCAACAUGAGAUGACCGCCGUGUGGUAAACUGAUGAACCCUGACCCUGAUCAACAUGAGAUGACCGCCGUGUGGUAAACUGAUGAACCCCGACCCUGAUGAACGUGAGAUGACCGCCGUGUGGUAAACUGAUGAACCCCGACCCUGAUGAACGUGAGAUGACCGCCGUGUGGUAAACUGAUGAACCCCGACCCUGAUGAACGUGAGAUGACCGCCGUGUGGUAAACUGAUGAACCCCGACCCUGAUGAACGUGAGAUGACCGCCGUGUGGUAAACUGAUGAACCCCGACCCUGAUCAACGUGAGAUGACCGCCGUGUGGUAAACUGAUGAACCCCGACCCUGAUGAACAUGAGAUGACCGCCGUGUGGUAAACUGAUGAACCCCGACCCUGAUCAACAUGAGAUGACCGCCGUGUGGUAAACUGAUGAACCCCGACCCUGAUCAACAUGAGAUGACUGCCGUGUGGUAAACUGAUGAACCCUGACCCAUUAGGCUUUGGCUACAGAAUGUGGAAAUAAGUUGUGUUACUACAUGUGUGUAAUCCUAGGGUGCAGGACACCGGCCGGGAGGUUCCAUAGAGUGAUGGGUUCUGCAGGUAACUCAUCCUCUAGUCCUCUGUAAGCUCCUAGAAGGAAGAAAUUAUGUCCUUUAGACUAAUAAAAUUCCUCCAAACCAAAUACAGCA
ensembl:lncRNA LINC01128 long intergenic non-protein coding RNA 1128